rnacentral:rRNA from 1 species
AUUGAACGCUGGCGGCAGGCCUAACACAUGCAAGUCGAGCGGAUGAAGGGAGCUUGCUCCUGGAUUCAGCGGCGGACGGGUGAGUAAUGCCUAGGAAUCUGCCUGUAGUGGGGGAUAACGUCCGGAAACGGGCGCUAAUACCGCAUACGUCCUGAGGGAGAAAGUGGGGGAUCUUCGGACCUCACGCUAUCAGAUGAGCCUAGGUCGGAUUAGCUAGUUGGUGGGGUAAAGGCCUACCAAGGCGACGAUCCGUAACUGGUCUGAGAGGAUGAUCAGUCACACUGGAACUGAGACACGGUCCAGACUCCUACGGGAGGCAGCAGUGGGGAAUAUUGGACAAUGGGCGAAAGCCUGAUCCAGCCAUGCCGCGUGUGUGAAGAAGGUCUUCGGAUUGUAAAGCACUUUAAGUUGGGAGGAAGGGCAGUAAGUUAAUACCUUGCCGUUUUGACGUUACCAACAGAAUAAGCACCGGCUAACUUCGU